UACGAGGGGGGCGAGCGUUGUUCGGAAUUAUUGGGCGUAAAGGGCGCGUAGGCGGUCGGAUAAGUCUUGUGUGAAAUCUUCGGGCUCAACUCGAAGUCUGCACGAGAAACUAUCUGGCUUGAGUGUGGGAGAGGUGAGUGGAAUUCCUGGUGUAGCGGUGAAAUGCGUAGAUAUCAGGAGGAACACCUGUGGCGAAAGCGGCUCACUGGACCACAACUGACGCUGAGGCGCGAAAGCUAGGGGAGCAAACAGG
rnacentral:rRNA from 1 species